rnacentral:rRNA from 1 species
GACGAACGCUGGCGGCAGGCUUAACACAUGCAAGUCGAACGCCCCGCAAGGGGAGUGGCAGACGGGUGAGUAACGCGUGGAAACGUGCCCUUCGCUUCGGAAUAGUCCCGGGAAACUGGGUUUAAUACCGGAUACGCCGUAUUGGGAAAGAUUUAUCGGCGAAGGAUCGGCCCGCGUUAGAUUAGGUAGUUGGCGGUGUAAUGGACCACCAAGCCUACGAUCUAUAGCUGGUCUGAGAGGAUGAUCAGCCACACUGGGACUGAGACACGGCCCAGACUCCUACGGGAGGCAGCAGUGGGGAAUCUUGGACAAUGGGCGAAAGCCUGAUCCAGCCAUGCCGCGUGAGUGAAGAAGGCCUUAGGGUUGUAAAACUCUUUCGCCGGAGAAGCUAAUGACGGUAUCCGGAGAAGAAGCCCCGGCUAACUUCGUGCCAGCCGCCGCGGUAACAC